rnacentral:lncRNA from 1 species
UUAAACUUUAUCUCAAGCACCUGUCUCACAAAUUAGGAUUCAUCAUUUAUAGCACAUCAUGCAUCAUCUCAACUUCAAUCAAACACUAGAAUCUCAUAAAACGAAACCCAUCACACAAAACAGGCACAGUUGAAUCAAAGCAGUUCAGUUCAUUCAAGUAGAGCACAAAAAAAUAAAAUAAAAUAGAACAAAACCAAAAAUUAAAACAAAAACAAAAACAACAAUUAAAAGUAAAAGUUCAGAGAACUGGGUUGCCUCCCAGCAAGCGCUUCUUUAACGUCACUAGCUUGACCCAGUCUUC